CCUGUAGGGUUAAAGAUACCUGGAAGAAGAGUUUUCAGUUGAAAUCCCGGAAUGGAAUAAGAUGGAGAGGAAAGCAAGGGAAUGGAAUGGAGUAGAGUGAUAUAAUCAUAUAAUUGUUCUGUUCCAUUGUUUUGAUAUUUUUGUUAUUAAAAUGGAGUAAUUUCUCAUUCUAUUUUUUUGAUAUAGCAAUGGAAUAUACUAAUUUUGUUGGGGGAAAGAAAUUAGCAUUUUGCAUUGAAUCCUAUUCCUCCCAAAUUAGAGGGAAGAAAACCAACAUAAGAUGAUGGCAUUAGAUGGAAUUUAUUUUAUCAUUUCCCAUGUCCCUCCCACUUUCUGAAGUCCUGUUCUUUUUCUUAAGGUUGAUAGAGGUGGGGAAGAUGCUUUGCUUGUCAGCAACUAUAAUGGGGGAGUUCUUGCUAUUGCUGAUGGUGUUUCUGGUUGGGCAGAAGAGGACGUGGAUCCUUCGUUGUUCCCACGUGAAUUGCUAGCUAAUGCUUCUAAUUUUGUUGAAGAUAUGGAGGUAAUUAUGACAAUGAAUAUUGUUUUUAAGUUAUAAUUAUUCUGUUCUCAAGGUACAUGCAUUUGUUCUUGGGUAAAUGACACUGUCCUCCCUUGAGGUUAAGGAAUAUUAUACACGAGUCUGAUUUUGUUGCUAGCAAAGGCAUUAGCUAACUUGGCAAGAAUUCAUGCCACGGAUUCAAAUUUUGAUUCUCCCUAUUCAUUGGAGGCCAGGUCUAAGGGUUAUGAUGCGCCGCUAUGGAAGAAGAUUCUUGGAAUGAAGCUUACAGGUGGGAAGCUUGAUGAUAUUACCGUAAUUGUUGGUCAGGUUGUAAGUUCCUGAGAACUGCUAAUCCAUCUUGAUUGGUUGAUUAUACUUGAAGAAAGCAAAGAUCCUGAUUGUGGAGAUCACCAUAGCAGCAAUUCUCUUCAGUAUACUGUGAUCACUAAAUGUUGGUGAUUCACUCGGAAAAUGGACAUAAGGAUUUAUCAUGGAAAUAUUUAUGCUUUGCUAUGAAGUGUUAUGUUGUGCAUCAUGCAUUUAGAGUGUGUUUUAUAAUGUGAUAUUCUUUAUAAAUUAAUUUUCUGUUUCUGA